rnacentral:rRNA from 1 species
CCGCCGGCGACCGGCGCACGGGUGAGUAACACGUAUGCAACCUGGCCGUGACAGAUGGAUAACCGGGAGAAAUCCCGCCUAAUACAGCAUGACGCCGGGAAGGGACAUCCCUUUCCGGCCAAAGGGGGCGACUCCGGUCACGGAUGGGCAUGCGGCGCAUUAGGUAGUUGGUGGGGCAACGGCCCACCAAGCCGACGAUGCGUAGGGGUUCUGAGAGGAAGGUCCCCCACAUUGGAACUGAGACACGGUCUAAACUCCUACGGGAGGCAGCAG